AAUGAAGGAGUGAAGAAGCAUGGAGAUUAGUUGUCGGAUUUUUGAAGGGAUUGUGGUGAUGCUCUUCGGCCGGCUAGCUGUGGAGAAGUAUACACUAUACAGGGCAAUAAUGUCACUUGGUUUGGCUUGUUUGGUUUUUAUUAAUACUUUGGUUGUGUCAAUAUGCUUUGUGGAAGGAGUUUUGGUAGUUGAGACAGAAGAAGAGUGUGGUGUUUUGUUGGAAAGGGAAGGCUCUUUCAAAGUAUUUGGGGAUAUUUUCCUCUUUAAGAUGAUGUGAGGUGUAAAUAGUUCAUAUGAGGUUUAUGUGGUGAUGUUAUGAGGCUUAAUAGUUUGAUAUUUUGCCGUAGGAGGGACUCGAAUUCUGAAAUUGUUAUACAGUACCCAACACAUAAAUAUAAUCUAAAUUCUAAU
rnacentral:lncRNA from 1 species